rnacentral:rRNA from 1 species
AUGGACCAAUCCAUCCCUUUUUCCCAUGCAUAUGCAUCGGACUCGGAUGACGAUGGUCCUGAUGAAGAAGUUGAUGAGGAGGGGUUCACACCGAAGGAGGCCGAAGCAUUCAAGAAGGUAUUCGGGCGGGAUCACAAGACACCAUUGUUCAAGGAUCUUAGUCUCGCGGAUGAAGCCGUUGUGGAUGGUGGAAAAUGCAUAUCUCUUGGAGCUAGGCCAAGUUCUCAC